rnacentral:tRNA from 1 species
GGAAAGAUGGCUGAGUUGGUCUAAGGCGCACGACUGGAAAUCGUGUGAAGGCUUAAAACCUUCCGAGGGUUCGAAUCCCUCUCUUUCCGCCA